rnacentral:rRNA from 1 species
GACGAACGCUGGCGGCGUGCUUAACACAUGCAAGUCGAACGAAGUGGCGAACGGGUGAGUAAAGCGUAAUCAACCUGCCCUUCAGAGGGGGACACCAGUUGGAAACGACUGCUAAUACCGCAAACUGAAGGAGGGGAUUGCGUCUGAUUAGCUAGUUGGGGGGGUAACGGCCAACCAAGGCGAGGAUCAGUAGCCGGUCUUAGAGGAUGAACGGCCACAUUGGGACUGGGACAAGGGCCAGACUCCUACGGGAGGCAGCAGUGGGGAAUCUUCCGAAAUGGACGAAAGUCUGACGGCGCAACGCCGCGUUAGUGAUGACGGCCUUCGGGUUGUAAAGCUCUGUUAAUCGGGACGCGGUACCGGAAUAGAAAGCAACGGCUAACUACGUGCCAGCAGCCGCGGUAAUUC